AACCCCUGGAAUAUCAAAAGAGAACAACACUCAAGUGAUUUCAGGAGCAUUCAGUGAUCUAUAUGUAACCUCAAGUUCUCUUGGGUACUUUUCUACAAGGAAUGAUGCCAGUCUCGAAGGAGAAUUUGAUUUGCUAUUAUCCUGCAUUUUCAUUAUUCAUGAGCAUCUUGACAGAUCAAGUCACGGUGGCAAUCAGUGCUUACUCUUAGGAAAGUGGAGGUGGAGACUGGGGAGGCUGGAGAAGGAGAGAUUAAAAUUGCUAAACCGUUCUCAUCUGGCCCAUCUGUGAAGCAACCCUAAAAGAAGUAUUUGUAUUGAGCUAGGAAAAAUCAGAGGGGAAAGAAAAUGGAAGAGCAUUUGCUUUCUUUCCUCCUGCCCUUAGAGAAUAUAACACUGAGAUAAGGUGAAUUAGGAGACAAAAGGAAACAUACCUUCACUUCUGCAUCCAAUGUUGGGGGUGGUUCUAUGAAUGUUGAAUAAAUGUCAAAUGAGAUUCCUUCUUCUAGAGGAUCUGGGAGGAGACCACCUGAAGGCUUGACAACCUCUAUCAUUUGCUGGAGGGGAAGAAAAGAACUGAAUCAUGACAAAGCCUUUGUCAUUUCACCCCAAAGGAGAUUAUGCAGGGAAGCACUUGGAGCAAGAUGCUGCCACAGUCUGAAUGCAAAGCUUCCACGCAUUUUACUGGCAAACGUAAGUCACCUCUUAAAGACUGAAAAUACUUUUAAAAUUUAAAUAUUUAACAACAAACAGCCAAUAAGUGGAAAAAAAAAGAUUGUCACACAAGGUAUGGGAUGCAGUAAAACUUAAAAUUUGGUAAGAAAUGAGUCUAAAAACAAUUUGUUUGCAAUACCUUUUAUUUAAUAUUAAUUGCAUUUAAUAAAACAUCUUUAAUAUUUAAUACAAAUAAAUUGUAAAAUAUAUUAAAUAUCUGUCAUUUGCAUAUUAUUUUGCCCAG